rnacentral:rRNA from 1 species
UGCGAAGGGGGCUAGCGUUGCUCGGAAUCACUGGGCGUAAAGGGUGCGUAGGCGGGUCUUUAAGUCAGGGGUGAAAUCCUGGAGCUCAACUCCAGAACUGCCUUUGAUACUGGCGAUCUCGAGUCCGGGAGAGGUGAGUGGAACUGCGAGUGUAGAGGUGAAAUUCGUAGAUAUUCGCAAGAACACCAGUGGCGAAGGCGGCUCACUGGCCCGGUACUGACGCUGAGGUGCGAAAGCGUGGGGAGCAAACAGG